rnacentral:rRNA from 1 species
AUAUCGACGUAGUUGACUCUGCUCAGACGACGCUGGCGGCAUGCCUAACACAUGCAAGUCGAACGAAGGCUUCGGCCUUAGUGGCGCACGGGUGCGUAACGCGUGGGAACCUGCCCCUCGGUUCGGAAUAACAGUUAGAAAUGACUGCUAAUACCGGAUGAUGACUUCGGUCCAAAGAUUUAUCGCCGAGGGAUGGGCCCGCGUAGGAUUAGCUAGUUGGUGGGGUAAAGGCCUACCAAGGCGACGAUCCUUAGCUGGUCUGAGAGGAUGAUCAGCCACACUGGGACUGAGACACGGCCCAGACUCCUACGGGAGGCAGCAGUGGGGAAUAUUGGACAAUGGGCGAAAGCCUGAUCCAGCAAUGCCGCGUGAGUGAUGAAGGCCUUAGGGUUGUAAAGCUCUUUUACCAGGGAUGAUAAUGACAGUACCUGGAGAAUAAGCUCCGGCUAACUCCGUG